GGACAUUGGAUGUAAUGUGAUGGGAAGGCCAAUCGAUCGCUCUAUUUGGGGGCAUGAGGACGCUUUUUGUGUGAUUUUGUUUGGUAUGAUGUCUGUUACGCAUGAUUUUCAGAAAAAAAAGAUGCCCCUCUUUAUUGCAGAUAGUUGUCGAGGAAUGCCUGCGGGAUAUUAAUAAUAUUUGAUAAUGAAGGAUCUUGCAACCACUGUUAGAUGUAUAGUUUACAAAAGUAAAAAGUUGUGCAAUGGUGAGGUAAUGUAGAUGUAAGCAAUCGGGUGGGUAGGUCGACUCGAGCCACUUAUUAGGGAACUAACCACAAAUGAUUUCUGAAAGCUUCACGGAUCCGUGCGAAAUGGCAUUAAUUUGAUGACAUGAGCAGGAUAUAUAGUAGCUAAAGUGUAUUAGUCUCUUUAAUUAUGCAUUUCGUCAGCGCAAGUGGUCAUACCUCUCAUGAACCGUACUGACGCAUGUGACACUUGUAUUGCAAAUUGAAUCACAGCAUAUAACAACAAUUGACAUAUAUCAACAGUUAUA
rnacentral:lncRNA from 1 species